rnacentral:rRNA from 1 species
UACGAAGGGUGCAAGCGUUAAUCGGAAUUACUGGGCGUAAAGCGUGCGUAGGCGGUUAUUUAAGUCUGCUGUGAAAUCCCCGGGCUCAACCUGGGAAUGGCAGUGGAUACUGGAUAGCUAGAGUGUGAUAGAGGAUGGUGGAAUUCCCGGUGUAGCGGUGAAAUGCGUAGAGAUCGGGAGGAACAUCAGUGGCGAAGGUGGCCAUCUGGAUCAACACUGACGCUGAGGCACGAAAGCGUGGGGAGCAAACAGG